CAAUAUUCUUAGGUCUGUUUCCAUUUUCUUUUUAAAAUAAUUGAGAUGCUAUGAUGACUGAGUCACCGAUAUAAGGUCUGACUUUAUUUUUAAACAGAUCUAUCUCUUAAUAUGCUCUUCACAGUAAAAUAUAGUCACUUAGGUAAAUUGCUUACAUUACAUUUUUUGAAAACAGAUUUUCUUUUUCCUACAGUAUGAAGCAAAAAGUUAAGAUCUUUCCAUUCUAGUCUUGAUUUACUUUGACUAGCUGUGGCUACAAUGUUGAGAAAGUAGGGAAAUAGAAGCAAAAGUCAUAAUCAGGGGAGAAAAUCAGAAUAAAAAAAGCAAACAAACUGCAAACAAGGAUGAAAACAAAGAAACAUGGAAGCUACAGGUGUAUACAAGAUAUAAUAGAUAUCAAGAGUCUCUGAAUUUCACUGGUGAUGAGUCAUGCAAUAAGGAAAACCUGAAGAACUGGAAUUUUAGAAGAGGAGAAAAGUCAGAAAAGUUUCUAGUAUUGAUUAUAUUGCGUCUCCAAAACCGGGAAGAAACUGGAGC
rnacentral:lncRNA from 1 species